CAAACGGGGAGAAGAACUAACAAGGAUUCCCUUAGUAACGGCGAGUGAAGAGGGAUGAGCUCAAAUUUGAAAUCUGGCAGCCUGACGGUUGUCCGAGUUGUAAUCUAGAGAAGUGUUUUCCGUGCUGGACCGUGUACAAGUCCUUUGGAACAAGGCGUCAUAGAGGGUGAGAAUCCCGUCUACGACACGGACUACCAGUGCUCUGUGAUMCACUCUCAACRRGUCGAGUUGUUUGGGAAUGCAGGCUCAAAAUGGGUGGKWAAUUCCAUCUAAAGGCUAAAUACGGGCGMAAGAYCGAUAGCGAACAAGUCACCGGUGAGGGAAAGAUGAAAAGCACUUUGGAAAGAGAGUUAAACAAGUACGUGRAAWUGUUGAAAGGGAAACGCUUGAAGUCAGUCGCGUCUUCAGAAAUUCAGCCUUGCUUCUGCCUGGUGUAUUUUUCUGUUUGACGGGCCAGCAUCAGUUUCGACUGCCAGAAAAAGGUGAGAGGGAAGGUGGCACCUCCGGGUGUGUUAUAGCCUCUCAUCGUAUGUGGCGGUGGGGACUGAGGACCGCAGCACGCCUCUAAUGGCCGGGGUUCGCCCACGUAACGUGCUUAGGAUGCUGGCGUAAUGGCUUUAAACGACCCGUCUUGAAACACGGACCAAGGAGUCUAACAUGCCUGCGAGUAUUUGGGUGGCAAACCCAUGUGCGGAAUGAAAGUGAACAGUUGGGACUUCUGUCAUGGAAGGCACCGACGCCCGGACCAGACCUAUUGUGACGGAUCCGAGGUAGAGCAUGUAUGUUGGGACCCGAAAGAUGGUGAACUAUGCCUGAGUAGGGUGAAGCCAGAGGAAACUCUGGUGGAGGCUCGUAGCGAUUCUGACGUGCAAAUCGAUCGUCGAACUUGGGUAUAGGGGCGAAAGACUAAUCGAACCAUCUAGUAGCUGGUUCCUGCCGAAGUUUCCCUCAGGAUAGCAGAGACUCAUAUCAGAUUUAUGUGGUAAAGCGAAUGAUUAGGGGCCUUGGGGUUGAAACAACCUUAACCCAUUCUCAAACUUUAAAUAUGUAAGAACGACGCGUCGCUUGAUUGGACCCGUCGGUGAUUGAGAGUCUCCUAGUGGGCCAUUUUUGGUAAGCAGAACUGSSGAUGCGGGAUGAACCGAUCGUGAGGUUAAGGUGCCGGAAUGCACGCUCAUUAGACACCACAAAAUGUGUGAGUUCAUCUAGACAGCAGGACGGUGGCCAUGGAAGUCGGAAUCCGCUAAGGAGUGUGUAACAACUCACCUGCCGAAUGAACUUGCCAUGAAAAUGGAUGGCGCUCAAGCGUGUUACCCAUACCUCACCGUCAGCGUUGAAGUGACGCGCUGACGAGUAGGCAGGCGUGGAGGUCCGUGAAGCAGCCUAGGCAGUGAUGCCUGGGAAAUGUUUCC
rnacentral:rRNA from 1 species